AAACAAUGAUCAUACCCCCAAAUAUAUCUGCCAGGGGACUACGAACAAUAGUUUAAAACCCAAAGGACUUGGCGGUGCUUAGACCCCCUAGAGGAGCCUGUUAUAUAACCGAUAAUCCCCGUUAAACCUCACCCUCUCUUGCCAGAUCAGCUUAUAUACCGCCGUCGCAAGCCCACCCUGCAAAGGAUAAACAGUGGGCAAAAUUGGCACCGCCCCAGACGUCAGGUCGAGGUGUAGCACAUGAGAGGGGAUCUAAUGGGCUACACUCACUGUCAACAGUACUUACGGAAGUGUCAUUUAAACAUGAAACUGAAGAAGGAUUUAGCAGUAAGGGGGAAAUAGAGCGUCCC
rnacentral:rRNA from 1 species